CCUACGGGUGGCUGCAGUGAGGAAUAUUGGUCAAUGGACGAGAGUCUGAACCAGCCAAGUAGCGUGAAGGAUGACUGCCCUAUGGGUUGUAAACUUCUUUUAUAUGGGAAUAAAAUGUUCCACGUGUGGGAUUUUGUAUGUACCAUAUGAAUAAGGAUCGGCUAACUCCGGGCCAGCAGCCGCGGUAAUACGGAGGGUCCGAGCGUUAUCCGGAUUUGUUGGGUUUAAAGGGAGCGUAGGGGGAUGGUGAAGGCAGUUGUGAAAGUUUGCGGCUCAACCGGAGAAGUGCAGUUGAAACUGGCAGUCUUGAGUACAGUAGAGGUGGGCGGAAUUCGUGGUGUAGCGGUGAAAUGCUUAGAUAUCACGAAGAACUCCGAUUGCGAAGGCAGCUCCCUGGACUGCAACUGACACUGAGGCUCGAAAGUGUGGGUAUCAAACAGGAUUAGAUACCCGUGUAGUC
rnacentral:rRNA from 1 species